UUCAUCGUAGGAUUCAGAUCUAUUGGUAGAAAGUAAAACAAAAAAAAAAUUCUAAAAAUUCAAGUUCUAUACAAAUUUGGAGUGACUUAUUUUUAAAACACUUUCGGAAUAUCCCGAGUUUCUCCACACAUUGAUAAUGAAUUUUUGCUCAGUGCCCUACGAAGCUGAUUACGGCAUGUACGCCGAUUCCAAGAUGAAAAGCGUGCCACAGUACCCCCUGGGCAUGGGUGCCAGUCAGGGUCAAGGACAGUCCAUGGCCAUGCAGCCCCUGAAUCCGCCGCAGAUGAAUCUGCAGAUGCAGAUGCCCGUGUGCCAGUCGGGCGCCUCGUCGUACCCCAUGCAGGGUAUGCCGCUGGGCAUGAUGCAGGGGGGCAAUCAGAUGACUCCCAUGUCCACGAUGAGCACCCAGCUGCCGAUUGGAGCGGUGACGCCCCUGAACAGCAUGACCAUGAUGCCCAUGAUGGGCAAUCCCAUGGGCGCCAUCGACGCCCCCGGCAUCAAUGCAGUGCUGCCCGACCUGCAGCCCAUGAGCUCCAUGAGCUCCAUGGGUCAGAUGCAGCCGCUGCAGCAGUACACUCCGACGGGAUCUUCCACCCAAAUGCAUCAGGGUCGUCUGACGGGCGGCUGCAGUACGGGAAUGGCCGCGGCCUGUCCGUCGUCGCCCACGAACCCGGGCAACUGGAGCUCCAGUCCCAGCGCCAACCAGAUGUGGCAAUACAGCCAGCCCAUGCAGAGUCACCAGCCGCAGUACCAACAGCUGCCGCACUUCCAGCAGCAGCAGAGCCCAUCCCAGCAGCAGGUCAGCCGGAUGAAACCCUCCUACGACGCACCCAUGUACCGGGACAUGCGCAACGGUCUGAACAAUCCUUUUUAAUCCUUAGCACACCAUCCAUGCACGAUUCUUCGAAGUACAGCAAAGGCAAUCAAUCAUUCAAUUGUGGAAAAGCGGUUACCAAGGUCCCCCAUUGGCGUUGACGAACCCCUUGAGCCCAUCAUUAGUUGUUUUUGUACUUUUGCAUGAUUGGUGUCUCUUUAUUUGCACAACUUGUUCCAAGACUUCCCCUACGCAAGCAAACACAGAUACUCAGCCCACAAGAAACACAGACAUGGUCGCAAACAUGUUGGUGUGGAAUAAAUAGUUUAUAUGUUAUGGCCGAAAACGAA